AGCGAACGCUAGCGGCGGGCCUAACACAUGCAAGUCGAGCGGAGGGAGCAAUCCUUCAGCGGCGGACGGGUGAGUAACGCGUAGGUAAUGUACCUUCUGGUGGGGAAUAACCGUGGGAAACCAUGGCUAAUACCGCAUAUCGUCCUUACGGAUGAAAGCCUUCGGGCGCCAGAAGAGCAGCCUGCGUCCCAUUAUUUAGUCCUAGUUGGUGAGGUAACGGCUCACCAAGGGUACGAUGGGUAGCUGGUCUGAGAGGAUGAUCAGCCACACUGGAACUGAGACACGGUCCAGACUCCUACGGGAGGCAGCAGUGGGGAAUAUUGCGCAAUGGGCGAAAGCCUGACGCAGCCACGCCGCGUGAGUGAUGAAGGCCUCGGUUGUAAGACUCUGUCGGAGGGAAGGACGGGAGGAAAGUACCAGACGGUACCGUCGCAAGAAAGACACCGGCUAACUCUGUGCCAGCAGCCGCGGUAAACGUAGUACGUGU
rnacentral:rRNA from 1 species